rnacentral:rRNA from 1 species
AGAGUUUGAUCCUGGCUCAGGACGAACGCUGGCGGCGUGCCUAACACAUGCAAGUCGAGCGAUGAAGCCCUUCGGGGUGGAUUAGCGGCGGACGGGUGAGUAACACGUGGGUAACCUGCCUCAAAGAGGGGGAUAGCCUCCCGAAAGGGAGAUUAAUACCGCAUAACAUUAGUUUUUCGCAUGAAGAACUAAUUAAAGGAGCAAUCCGCUUUGAGAUGGACCCGCGGCGCAUUAGCUAGUUGGUGAGGUAAUGGCUCACCAAGGCGACGAUGCGUAGCCGACCUGAGAGGGUGAUCGGCCACAUUGGAACUGAGACACGGUCCAGACUCCUACGGGAGGCAGCAGUGGGGAAUAUUGCACAAUGGGCGAAAGCCUGAUGCAGCAACGCCGCGUGAGUGAUGAAGGCCUUCGGGUUGUAAAGCUCUGUCUUUUGGGACGAUAAUGACGGUACCAAAGGAGGAAGCCACGGCUAACUACGUGCCAGCAGCCGCGGUAAUACGUAGGUGGCGAGCGUUGUCCGGAUUUACUGGGCGUAAAGGGCGCGUAGGCGGAUAUUUAAGUCAGGUGUGAAAACCCGGGGCUCAACCCCGUGAUUGCAUCUGAUACUGGGUAUCUUGAGGACAGGAGAGGAAAGUGGAAUUCCUAGUGUAGCGGUGAAAUGCGCAGAUAUUAGGAGGAACACCAGUGGCGAAGGCGACUUUCUGGACUGUAACUGACGCUGAGGCGCGAAAGCGUGGGGAGCAAACAGGAUUAGAUACCCUGGUAGUCCACGCCGUAAACGAUGAGUGCUAGGUGUAGGG